AAGGGACAGGUGCGCAAAGCACAGGAAGGAUGGGUCAAGGACAGGUCAGUGAUGCCCUUAGAUGGUCCGGGCUGCACGCGCACUACAGUGGUCGCCGGAAUURCCUGAUAAUUAUAAAGGCGAUCGAGAGGGAAUGAGCUUUGUAAGAGGCUCAGGAACGAGGAAUUGCUAGUAAUCGCGGACUCAUUAAGACGCGAUGAAUACGUCCCUGUUCUUUGUACACACCGCCCGUCGUUAUCGAAGAUGAAGACAGGCGCGAACGAUCUACCAGAAAGUGAGCGCAGGUCUUUAGAUCUGAUACAAGUCGUAACAAGGUAGCUGUAGGAGAACCUGUAGCUGG
rnacentral:rRNA from 1 species